rnacentral:rRNA from 1 species
UACGAGAGGCCCAAACGUUAUUCGGAAUUACUGGGCUUAAAGAGUUCGUAGGCGGCAUGAAAAGCAGGGUGUGAAAGCCCUCGGCUCAACCGAGGAAUUGCGCUCUGAACUGUCGUGCUUGAGGAACCUAGAGGUGAGCAGAACAGAUGGUGGAGCGGUGAAAUGCGUUGAGAUCGGAAGGAACGCCCGUGGCGAAAGCGAGUUCCUGGACGUCGGCUGACGCUGAGACGCGAAAGCCAGGGGAGCGAACGGG